rnacentral:rRNA from 1 species
UACGUAGGGUGCAAGCGUUAAUCGGAAUUACUGGGCGUAAAGCGUGCGCAGGCGGUGAUGUAAGACAGAUGUGAAAUCCCCGGGCUCAACCUGGGACCUGCAUUUGUGACUGACAUCGCUAGAGUACGGUAGAGGGGGAUGGAAUUCCGCGUGUAGCAGUGAAAUGCGUAGAUAUGCGGAGGAACACCGAUGGCGAAGGCAAUCCCCUGGACCUGUACUGACGCUCAUGCACGAAAGCGUGGGGAGCAA